GACGAACGCUGGCGGCGUGCUUAACACAUGCAAGUCGAACGGAAAGGCCCUGCUUUUGUGGGGUUCUCGAUUGGCGAACGGGUGCGUAACACGUGUGUAACCUGCCCUUGACUUUGGGAUAACUUCAGGAAACUGGGGCUAAUACCGGAUAGGAGCCCCUGCUGCAUGGUGGGCGUUGGAAAGUUUCGGCGGGUGUGGAUGGACUGGCGGCUUAUCAGCUUGUUGGUGGGGUAGUGGCUUACCAAGCCAGUGACGGGUAGCCGGCCUGAGAGGGUGAACGGCGACCAGGGGACUGCGAGAGGGCGCAGACGCGAACGGGAGGCAGCAGUGGGGAGUAUUGCCCAAUGGGCGGGAGUCUGAGGCAGAGGCGCCGCGUGCGGGAUGCCGGCUUUCGGGUUGAGAACCGCUUUCGCCUGUGACGAAGCGUGUGUGACGGUACUGGGUAAAGAAGCACCGGCUAACUACGUG
rnacentral:rRNA from 1 species